rnacentral:tRNA from 1 species
GCGCCCGUAGCUCAGCUGGAUAGAGUAUCUGACUACGAAUCAGAGGGUCAAGUGUUCGAAUCACUUCGGGCGCACCA